AACGAACGCUGGCGGCAUGCCUAACACAUGCAAGUCGAACGCCCCGCAAGGGGAGUGGCGAACGAGUGAGUAACGCGUGGGAACCUACCCAGCAGUUGGGGAUAACCGCGGGAAACUGCGGCUGAUACCGAAUACGUCCUAAGGGAGAAAGAUUUAUCGCUGUUGGAGGGGCCCGCGUCGGAUUAGCUAGUUGGUGAGGUAACGGCUCACCAAGGCGAUGAUCCGUAGCUGGUCUGAGAGGAUGAUCAGCCACACUGGGACUUAGACACGGCCCAGACUCCUACGGGAGGCAGCAGUGGGGAAUAUUGGACAAUGGGGGCAACCCUGAUCCAGCAAUGCCGCGUGAGUGAUGAAGGCCUUAGGGUUGUAAAGCUCUUUUACCGGGGACGAUGAUGACGGUACCCGGAGAAUAAGCCCCGGCUAACUUCGUGCCAGCCGCCGCAGUAAGAC
rnacentral:rRNA from 1 species